rnacentral:piRNA from 1 species
AUGGCAUGGGUGGUUCAGUGGUAGA